AACGCACAUUGCGCCCGCCAGUAUUCUGGCGGGCAUGCCUGUUCGAGCGUCAUUUCAACCCUCAAGCCCUAGGGCUUGGUGUUGGGGAUCGGCGAUAGUCGCCGUCCCCCAAAUCUAGUGGCGGUCUCGCUGUAGCCUCCAUUGCGUAGUAGCUAACACCUCGCAACUGGAACGCGGCGCGGCCAAGCCGUUAAACCCCCCAACUUCUGAAUGUUGACCUCGGAUCAGGUAGGAAUACCCGCUGAACUUAA
rnacentral:misc_RNA from 1 species